rnacentral:rRNA from 1 species
UUGGAGGGCAAGUCUGGUGCCAGCAGCCGCGGUAAUUCCAGCUCCAAUAGCGUAUAUUAAAGUUGUUGCAGUUAAAAAGCUCGUAGUUGAACUUCGGGGUUUACCCAUUGGUCAGGCUUAAUUGUCUGUACUGGUGAGAUAAAUCUCUACCUUCUGGGGAACUUUCAUGCCAUUUAGUUGGUGUGAUAGGAAAUCAGGACUGUUACUUUGAAAAAAUUAGAGUGUUUAAAGCAGGCUAACGUCUGAAUACAUUAGCAUGGAAUAAUGAAAUAGGACGGAUUGGUUCUAUUUCGUUGGUUUCUAGGAUCACCGUAAUGAUUAAUAGGGAUAGUUGGGGGCAUUAGUAUUCAAUUGUCAGAGGUGAAAUUCUUGGAUUUAUUGAAGACUAACUAUUGCGAAAGCAUUUGCCAAGGAUGUUUUCAUUAAUCAAGAACGAAAGUUAGGGGAUCGAAGACGAUCAGAUACCGUCGUAGUCUUAACCAUAAACUAUGCCGACUAGGGAUCGGACGAAGUUAAUUUUAUAAUGACGCGUUCGGCGCCUUACGGGAAAC